UGGUAGACAACAGCUAGAGACAAAUGACAAUAAUUUAUAUGCUGGAAAUUAUGGGGAGUUUAUAUAUUAAGUAAAAGUUGCAACAUUAGUAUGAGAUAUUUACCAUAGGGCUUGUCUACUUUGUGUCAUCCCACUAUUUUUUUAUUAGUUAUAUUUUAUUACUAGCAUUUUCUAAUGAAACUCUAAAGAUUAAACUUAGGGGAUAUUUAUUUUAUUUUAUUUUAGACAAAGGUAAUAAAAGUGUUCCAGUCCUCAUGUUUCCUUUUCAGUCAUCUUCCAGUGAAAACCUAUUUUUUAAAGUGUCUGCUUUGCUGUUUUUAAAGCCAGUUAGAACCCUUCAGGCAUCUGAUGUUUUAAAAAGUUCUCCACUCGCAUACAUCUUAGAAGAGGUGUUGUGGUUUAGGUACAACUUCCAUUUGUGGGAUACGUAGGAGAACGUGUUAUUGAAAGGAGUCCAAAUAUAUAGCUGUACUUUAAUGAGUGAAAGAAGGCUUUUCUAGAUAGGACACUUAGGACCCUUGGAAACCCAUUAUAAGCCCUUUUAACUUUCAUUACCUCAAACUGACAUUUUACAGGUAAAUGUACUUGAAAGGGACAAGGAGGUCAAGCAAGUGCUGGAAGCUAAAAGCCCCUCACAUAUGAUUCUGCCACUACUUGCAAUUUGCUGUGUGAAAUUCAGUGAGUUGUUUGUCUGUGCUUGAAAUUACUUAUCCUUAGCACAGAGCUAAGAAAACAUGCAACAUCCAGCUAAUGGAAAUAUUCUGAGACUUAAUUAAUUGUGCAGUCCUUCCAUGAGAAAAAUUGUUUUUUCAUAAAACUCCAAGACUCUAUCCCCACCUGGAAUUAUUUAGAGACAUUUACAGGCAUACUUUCAAGGUAAAUCAAACAAAGAAUUUGAUUCUUUUCCAAAGAACUAAAUUUUGGACUGUUUUUAUGUAUAGCAAUUCAAACAUCAAUGUCCCAUGUUCUAUUAUUAUAAAAUGGGCUGCAAUCAGCUAUUUAUAUUCAGAAAUAUCUGUACUGUUAAGAAAUGGGCAUUGAACAGUAAUAUUGUAAAAUUAUACUGGGAUGAUCAACAAACUUUCUGAAAUUAUAUAUGCAUAAGCUAAGGAGAAUUCAGUCUUUUUUCAAAAAUAUUACUAAACAGAAAUUGAAGAACCUUCUGGACAUUUCUGUUUGUGACUUACUUGCAUACACUGUGCUAUGAUUACUAAAUAUUUUAAGAAAAAAACCUCUUAAUCUGUAUUUAGGUAACUCAUUCAAAGUCAUUUCCUGAGAAAGAGGUGCCAGCAGACUUAUGAGAACACAUUCCUCAUUAAAUAAUCCAAACCAAAGUCAGUAGUUACAUAGGAUUCAGACUUCCUUCCUCUCCCUUCGUUUUAAAAUAAUAAUAAAUUUCGGAGGGGAAGCAAGUGGCUUAUACCUCUCAAGUUCCAGCGCAGAGUGGAGUGUUUCGUUUUGCCUCAGAACCUGCAAAGUGUUCAGGAAAACAGAAACGAUGAACGGCUCUUCAAACGAGGGUCUUCUAUGUUUUACUAGCGACAGUUUCUUCAGAAGCUGAUGACAUUCUCGGUAGUUGCUGCAACCUGAGUGUCACUGAUAGUAGUGAUAAUAGAGCACUGAACCCAAAAUUCAACCGACCAUGUUCAACUGUCAAGGUGCAACGCUGAUAUAUUUGCAGGUGCUUCUAUGUCAUUAAGCAGAAAUGACUAGACCACUGUAACCUGGGAUACUCAGAAAGUAGAAACUAAGAGUUAAACACUGAUAAAGGAACAGUUGAGAACAUACAUGAAUGUUCUUGAAUAAUAGACCUGGAGAUACUAGAAAGUUCAGAAUUAGGGUAUAUGCAAACAGGGAGAAGAGUUACUUUGUCUCCUACAGGCUUGUCUUGUGUCAGACUUCCUCUUCUGUUUCAUUCUUGUUUAGUUCAUCUCCAUUUUGGUAAUCCUGAAAGUAGAUUUUGCACAGUAAUUAGUACUGCUUAAAAGGUUAGGUCUUGAUUGCCAUGUUUAGGGUACUAGAUGGGUAUGGCUUUAUUUUCAGUGGUGUUUUGAAAUGUUAACUUUGCCCAUUAAAAUAUGGUUUAAAUAUGUUUUUGAAGGAGAAAAUUUGUAAUUUAAGCAAGUGGCUUUAGACUAGAAUUUGUUGGGCAUCUACUCCUUGAAAUAUCUUCCAUAAUCCUGUGUUUGGUAUGAGAAUGUAUAGCAGAGUGGCACAUUGAGGACUGGGCCUCUUGGGGUGUGAAUCCCAAGCUAUCAUCCUGUUGAGCACUGAGCCAUCAGUAAUCUGAGAACAGGGAAUGCUGAAGAGAACAAACAGCUUUAGCUCAGCAUACAGCUGUCACCAUGACUUCUUUGAUAUCAUGUUUUUACAUUUUGAAAAUUGCUUUUAUCUGACAUGUUUACAAGUAGCAUGUAUGAAAACAUCUGACACUCCAUCUAGCAGAGGGGAGUAAUAAAAACAGAUAUUAAUUAGUCAUAAUACUGAAGGCUGUUACUCACUGAGCAGUACAGCUCACUUGUGGUUUAACUGGGCAGCAGCUAAACACCACACAGCCAUUUGUUCUUUCCCCCUAGCCAACUCCAUCUGGGCCAGCUUUCACCCUAGUUUAAAUAUGAGCAUGCUGUCACACGAUAUGGAAUAACUCUUUGGUCAAUUGGGGUCAGCUGUCCUGGCUGUGUUCCCUCACAACUUCUUGUGUUCCCCAGCCUCCUUGCAGAUGGGACAACAUCAGCAAAAGAGUCCUUGUCUUAGUAUAAACACUGCUUAACAACAACUAAACCCUCAGUAUUUCACCCAAUAUUAUUCUCAUCCUAAAUCCAAAACAGAGCACUGUAUGAGCUACCAGGAAGAAAAUGAACUCUAUCCCAGCUGAAAGAAGGACGUCACUUUACACGUCUCAUAUUUCACAUACACUAAUAAUUUAUUUGGAAACCCAAAAGGUAUUCAUUCAGAACUUAUGUUUCAGAAAGCUCUGUGAGAGGGUGCUCUAUGCUUUUAUAAUUUUAGAAACAUUAAUGUCUGGUUAUAAACUUCAGUUCCUUAUGUCCCUUUUGUGCAGGGAGAACUGUACUAUGCCCAAAGGAAUCAUAGAAUAUCUUGAGUUUGAAGAAACCUACAAGGAUCACCAAAGUCCAACUCCCAUUAACUAUGUGUCAUUGCAUUUUGCUACAUCUUUCACCAGCUUAUGUUAAUCCAAUUAAUUUUUUUUUGCACAGGAAAAAAGUUUUGAGGUACUCCCUUAUAGUAAGUGGUACAAUAUGCAAGGUAUGGUCUGCCACUGUUGGUCUCCUGAAAGCCUUUUCUGUGAUUAAUUAAACAUUAUAUCAUAUCUCAGCAGAGUUAAUCUGUUUCACAAUCAGAGGUGUUUCAAUUUAUCAUUUAUCUACUUUUUACCAUGGUGUUUCAGGUCCUAGGACAUUCUCCAAUUCUUUGUUAGCAUUAGUAAAGAGUAUACAGAGCAUUAAUUUAGCCAAAAUCUCUCCUGCAUGCACAUUUUAAACUGGGAAUGCCCCAGAGUAUGUUACAAGUUUUCUGUUCCUACCCCCUCCACCUUUUAGAAAAUUCCAUUUAGAGAACAACCAUUUACCUGAAAUUUUAAAUAUAUAUAAAGACUUUCAAGGCUUUUUUUCUGGCUACAAGAUUAAAUUGGUUUAAAAACUAAUAUUGUUCUAGGACAAUGUUCUGAAACUGUUUGGGAAUGGGGAAUAAUACUUUCUUUUUCUCCAACUAAUUUGAACCCUGAGCUUUGAAAUGUAAAUCUGAAUUUAUAUUUUAGAUUGUAAAGCAAAUUUAGGCCUCUUACAGUUUUUAUUGGAUUUAGGAACUCUUUCAUGAUGAGCCAGCAUAAUGAUUGUAUUUGGAUGUAGAAGCACCACAUAGACAAAACUGGGCUCUGGGGCAAGGAAUUAAAUGUUUUAAUCUGUUCAAUAGGGCUUGAUGCUGAUUUCCUGUCAUCUUCAAAGUCUGGCAGCUGGAUAUGGCCUGCAAGCCCUCAGAGAGGAGUUGUACCACAUAUGAGAGUAUCCAUUUCUGUAGAUAGUUUUGGAUACUGCUUUCAUACAUAGGAUAUGAAGGAUCACAGGAACAGCUUUAUAAAGGCAUUUCUCUUUUAUUUUCACCUCAGAUAUAAAUACGUACAAGAAUUUUAUGAAAGUACUAUAUCUGUGAUACAAAUCGUCUCUGAAAAGUGUUUCAAGGAUCUGUUACAGCCUAUGUUAUCCUGGAAUUUUUGUUGAGUAUUUCAUCACAUCUCAUCUCUCUGGAACAAAGACUUGUGUUUUCAACCUUUAACAGUAACAGUAAAGCAACCAGUAAACAAAGAAAAACAGAAAAUGUUUUGAUGAAAUAAGAGUUCUAGAAGAGUUGUUGAAUUUGUUUUUAAAUAAUAUUUGUUGUUCUGUGAGAAUGGAAGUUUUCUGCACUUCUUUUACCAGAUUCCUCUUAUUGCUCAAACUCUGCACUGAUUUUCCUGAUAUUGCCUGGGAGGUCAAUUGGAGUGAGGUGAUCAAAGAUGCAUGAUUACUUAUUAUUCACCUUGGCUGUUAGGUUACAAACACUGAAUAUUGAUACUUUCUAGAAAUCUUCUAUUCCCAGGUUUCUCUACCUUUCCAAUGGACUUUUGGGUCCUAAGACUUCUUCCACUGCUAUUAAUGAAUCUAUAGAACCAGGUCUCAGAUGUUUAGCAAGCUGCAUUCUACCACUUAGUCCAGGUACAUCUUGGGGGUAAUGACAGUCCAGACUUACUGUCAUGAAAUAAAUUGGCCUAAUAACAUAAAAGAGUAAAGGUUCAUAAUAUCUCACUAUAAAGUUAAACACAUUUUAUUAUUAUAGUUAUGGUACAGAUUAACUAAUAUUUGGCAUAAAUGUCCCUCUAAAGCCAUUAGCAAAUUGCAUGCUAACUGCCAUUAACUAGCGGUAUGCUGCAACCUUUCCUCUCUGAUCAGAUAUAAAUCUGCAAUUUUACAUCUACAUCAAUAUUUGUUUCUGUCUACAUUUCUAUUAUUUUAAUCAUUACCUUGCACAUUUUUCCAUUUACUCAUUUUGCACAUGGGUAUGUUAAAAAACUACCAACCAUUCAUCUUCUCAAAGAACUCAUCAUUAUACUGACUGAAAUAUCAUGAUAGCAUUGAAUUCUGACACUUACGUAGUUAACUACAUUAACAUUGAAAAUGUAGUUCCUAGCAUAGAAAAUAUAAUUAUAGUUAAAAUACAGUAGGGAAAAAAUGAACUUAUUUACAGGUCCUUUUUCAGAUGUAGCUCAGCAAUGUACUCUAUGUAGAAGUAAGAGUGAUGAGUGCAGGAAGUUCUAAGUUCUGUGUAGUGUUAAAACAACUUAUUCAAGUAACAAUAGAGGUGAAAACUCAGAAGUUGAUUACACAAUCAGCUAAAUUCAGUUAUAAUUGUCUUAAAUACCAGUACAUCUUAAUUUCCAAUUGCACAUAAAUUCUAUAUUAUGUUAGCAGAAAAUAACACUAGAGUUGUACUUAUUAUUUCUUUCUAAAGUAUUUGACAUUGUAAUGAAGCUGUACAUGCAUUUUUGAAGAAAGUGUGUAUAUAUUUUUUUCUAAUUAGAAAAAAAUACCAAGAAGUCAAUGUUCAUGCUUCAAAUUUUAGAAAGCUCAGACAAAAGACAAAAGCCCAGUGACCAAAAUCUAUCAAGGACAAAAGCUAUGGUGUUAGAAAGCAAUUACACAAUUAUUUUAAUUUGAUUCAGAAUUUACUAUCACUUGGGAAACCUUUUAGAAGCGGAGUAAAUUCUUUCAGCCACUAUUAUAGCUGAAAAAUUAGAGUAAAAAGAUUUUCACUGAUUCCUUGCAAACUGGACCAUGUCCCUACUGUGUUCCUGUAAAUAACACUGGGUUUUCAGAAUAAUGCUGUCAAGACUCUGAGGGGCACUCCAGUAAUGUAUCUGAUUUAUUACUUUGUGCUAUUAUCCAGAUUAUCAGGUCAGGAGAGAAGGGGAAAGUGGGGUGGGGGGACCAGAGAAGGAGUCAUUUGUUAAAUGCAUAUUUAUGCCACUACAGGAAAGGGCAAAUAAACUGGGAUUGGUAUGCUGACACAUAAUGCAGAGAAGAAGCAAACAAGGAAGUUUAAGUUACUAGUAGUGGUGAGUAAACUAUACAGUGUAUGCACAUUUAGAAGUCAAGCCUAACAGAAAUAUCAGAAAAGAUGGGAGCCGCCUUUAAGAAACCCUCAUCUAAUGACUUCACUUUGCAGUCAUAUGGCCCUUACAAAAUAAUUACAAUAUUUUCAUCAGUUUCAUCAUUUUAGCAGCUGGAACUAAGUUGCAUUCAACAUUCUGAAUGUGGGUUUUUUCCACAACCUGGUGUACUUUAUAUUUAAAGACUUUUAAUUUAAACCAGAGAACACAGGAAAAGUUGAUGUAUAAACUUCUGUAUAUUAUGUAUAUGACGUGGAACAGACUUUUUGUGUUGCAUUCUUAUGUUUGAUGUUUAUUCAGUGAAGUUUAUUUUGCUGAAGCAUGAGAUCUCUCUUUGACUCUUAAAAUCUUCUAGAGCACAAAUUGACAAAAUGUGUUCCUCUCUAGUUUUGCAGUAGCCAUAAUGACCUAUGUGAUCAAAUGGAAGUACAUGAAUGUCAGGUUAUACAAUGGAAUAAAGUUGAGGCUAAUAAUUAUUGUAAUCUGACUAUUUUUUUGAACAGUCUGGAUGAAUUACCCAACUAUUGAAGCACUGAAAGUAGCAGUAACAUUUCGUUGUCAGCCUUUCAUUUCCAAUUUUACUCUAUGAAGUAGGUUUCCAUUAUUGAUGUUAAAUAUAUUAAACCAUCACAUUAACAACCAGCUUAAUUAUAUACUUAAAAAGAACCUUAGAAAAUAAUUCAUAUUUUCUUUCUGUAUGGCAAGCUAAAUUUUAUAAAUCUGUAUUUUUCAGAAAAUCAACUUUAUUUGAUGGAUGGUUCUGUAAAAAGAGAAUAUUAACAAAUAAACCCACUAAUAAAACAAUUGAACUUUGAUAGGAAACCUAUUUAAGAUUUAGUAUUGUGCCUCUUAAUACUGAUAUUCUGGUACUCUGACGUCUAGAUGCAGCAGUGAAUAGACUUUUCAAAAAUCCCUGUGAAAGAGGCCAAAUCUUGAUUUUAGUGAUAUUGACAUGUCAUGAUAAUCUUAUGGCCAAAGAAAUAUGCAUGUGUCAGAAUUUUACAGAACCUUUUUAUAAAACUCACUGGAUAUGGAAAAGAGAAGUAUCUCUUGACAUCUUAUAUAUCACUUCAUACCCAUUUCCUAAAAGAUUCUUUCUUCUUUUUUAGAAAAUUUUCUUGA